rfam:Lactobacillus frumenti DSM 13145 NODE_25, whole genome shotgun sequence.
AGUUUUGGGUAAUUGAGCAUAGCCAUGCGCUAUGUUAGGAAGGUCCAUGCUCGCACAAGCUGCGAUGCUUGUAGUGUUUGUGCUCGCUGAAACGAUAAGGCGGGGCACCGAUUCAUUCGGUGACGGCGGAAAAAACGGCUACGGUUUUACUAUGCCUGAGUAUUCCUGAAAAGUGCCACAGGGACGACCUAACUAGGAAACUAGCUAGAUGGAACGCGGUAAACCCCUCAAGCGGUAAACCCAAACUACGGUAGGGGAGCUUUGGAUAACAAAUUGAAGUGAUUCCAGGGGAGAGCAUUUUGCUCUGAGAUAGAUGAUUACCUCGGUAUAAUCAUUGCCUGAUGGUUAUACUACGACAAAACAUGGCCUACAGAU